UACGGAGGGAGCUAGCGUUGUUCGGAAUUACUGGGCGUAAAGCGCACGUAGGCGGCUUUGUAAGUUAGAGGUGAAAGCCCGGAGCUCAACUCCGGAACUGCCUUUAAGACUGCAUCGCUUGAAUCCAGGAGAGGUGAGUGGAAUUCCGAGUGUAGAGGUGAAAUUCGUAGAUAUUAGGAAGAACACCAGUGGCGAAGGCGGCUCACUGGCCCGGUACUGACGCUGAGGCGCGAAAGCGUGGGGAGCAAACAGG
rnacentral:rRNA from 1 species